rnacentral:rRNA from 1 species
UACAAUGGAGAGUUUGAUCCUGGCUCAGGAUGAACGCUGGCGGUAUGCUUAACACAUGAAAGUCGAACGGGGUAGUAA